rnacentral:rRNA from 1 species
UUAGGCAUGCAAGUCGAAUGGGUUUAGACCCAUGGCAGACGAGGUAGUAACACGUAGGUAACGUACCCUAAAGUCAGGCAUAACCCGGAGAAAUCCGGAAUAAUACCUGAUAGUCUCUUCGGAGUAAAGUUUUAACGCUUUAGGAACGGCCUGCGGGAUAUCAGCUUGUUGGUAGUGUAAAGGACUACCAAGGCUAAGACGUCUAGGGGAGGUGAGAGCCUGACCCCCACCGAUGGAACUGAGACACGGUCCAU